rnacentral:rRNA from 1 species
CCUACGGGUGGCAGCAGUGAGGAAUAUUGCUCAAUGGGCGCGAGCCUGAUGCAGCCAAGCAGCGUGAAGGAUGACGGCCCUACGGGUUGUAAACUCUUUUUAUAAAGGAGUAAAGUGAGGCACGUGUGCCUUUUCGUACGUACUUUAUGAAUACGGAUAGGCUAAGUCCGUGAUAGCAGCCGCGCUAAUACGGAGGAUCCGAGCGUUACCGGGAUUUUGUGGGUUUAAAGGGAGCGGAGAUGGGUUGUUAAGUCAGUUGGGAAAGUUUGGGGCUCAACCGUAAAAUUGCAUUUGAUACUGGCAGUCUUGAGUACAGUUGAGGUAGGCGGAAUUCGUGGUGUAGCGGUGAAAUGCGUAGAUAUCACGAAGAACACCGAUGGCGAAGGCAGCUUACUAAACUGACACUGACAUUGAUGCUCGAAAGUGUGGGUAUCAAACAGGAUUAGAUACCCUUGUAGUC